GAUGAACGCUGGCGGCGUGCCUAAUACAUGCAAGUCGAGCGAACGGACGAGAAGCUUGCUUCUCUGAUGUUAGCGGCGGACGGGUGAGUAACACGUGGAUAACCUACCUAUAAGACUGGGAUAACUUCGGGAAACCGGAGCUAAUACCGGAUAAUAUUUUGAACCGCAUGGUUCAAAAGUGAAAGACGGUCUUGCUGUCACUUAUAGAUGGAUCCGCGCUGCAUUAGCUAGUUGGUAAGGUAACGGCUUACCAAGGCAACGAUGCAUAGCCGACCUGAGAGGGUGAUCGGCCACACUGGAACUGAGACACGGUCCAGACUCCUACGGGAGGCAGCAGUAGGGAAUCUUCCGCAAUGGGCGAAAGCCUGACGGAGCAACGCCGCGUGAGUGAUGAAGGUCUUCGGAUCGUAAAACUCUGUUAUUAGGGAAGAACAUAUGUGUAAGUAACUGUGCACAUCUUGACGGUACCUAUUCGGAAAGCCACGGCUAACUACGUGCCAGCAGCCGCGGUAAUACGUAGGUGGCAAGCGUUAUCCGGAAUUAUUGGGCGUAAAGCGCGCGUAGGCGGUUUUUUAAGUCUGAUGUGAAAGCCCACGGCUCAACCGUGGAGGGUCAUUGGAAACUGGAAAACUUGAGUGCAGAAGAGGAAAGUGGAAUUCCAUGUGUAGCGGUGAAAUGCGCAGAGAUAUGGAGGAACACCAGUGGCGAAGGCGACUUUCUGGUCUGUAACUGACGCUGAUGUGCGAAAGCGUGGGGAUCAAACAGGAUUAGAUACCCUGGUAGUCCACGCCGUAAACGAUGAGUGCUAAGUGUUAGGGGGUUUCCGCCCCUUAGUGCUGCAGCUAACGCAUUAAGCACUCCGCCUGGGAGUACGACCGCAAGGUUGAAACUCAAAGGAAUUGACGGGGACCCGCACAAGCGGUGGAGCAUGUGGUUUAAUUCGAAGCAACGCGAAGAACCUUACCAAAUCUUGACAUCCUUUGACAACUCUAGAGAUAGAGCCUUCCCCUUCGGGGGACAAAGUGACAGGUGGUGCAUGGUUGUCGUCAGCUCGUGUCGUGAGAUGUUGGGUUAAGUCCCGCAACGAGCGCAACCCUUAAGCUUAGUUGCCAUCAUUAAGUUGGGCACUCUAAGUUGACUGCCGGUGACAAACCGGAGGAAGGUGGGGAUGACGUCAAAUCAUCAUGCCCCUUAUGAUUUGGGCUACACACGUGCUACAAUGGACAAUACAAAGGGCAGCGAAACCGCGAGGUCAAGCAAAUCCCAUAAAGUUGUUCUCAGUUCGGAUUGUAGUCUGCAACUCGACUACAUGAAGCUGGAAUCGCUAGUAAUCGUAGAUCAGCAUGCUACGGUGAAUACGUUCCCGGGUCU
rnacentral:rRNA from 1 species